CAAGGGCAUCAUUUAGAAGAGAGAAGCGUUUGGGUUACUUGUCAUUGGAGUGUAUGUUUAAGAAAGUCUCGCGGUACACUUGUGGGAGAUUUGGAAAGCCGAAGGAUUCUGUUGCAAAGUGCUGCCGUGAGGUGCCAAGCUCGUCAGGAGGCAUCCCCAUGUCCUAUUACCAGCCUCCCUUGUCAAGUUAAGGGCGCAGGCAGCCAUUUUGGGUCAGUACAGAUCUAGCAGGAACAGAAUGGAUCUAGUCGUUGCAGUGGCUGUGGCUUCCUGAUUCUGGAUUGUACUAUGUAUGACAGCGUGGCCUCCAAUGGAGAGUUCUCUGGUGACUUUCUCAUCUUCUGCCUCUCUCCCUGGGACAGAGGAAGCAGCUUCUUUGGCGUCCUGUUCUGUGGUGCUACUCUGGGAUCUUUCUUGGAACGCUGGCCUAAAACUUGCUCCUCCAAUGGCCAACAAUUCUAGAAGCACCCACCCGACUGUGUUAAGUCCCUUCUGCUACAAAUAACUAGAGUUGUUUCUGGGUUUCUGACAGGGGGACUAAAACUGUGUCUGUAACGUUUUAUUGCCUUGAAAAAACAAAACAAAACAAAAACCACAAAAAAUUCUGAAGGAUGUGUGGCUCUUUGUUAACAUCUUUUAAAAAAUCUAGGGAGUGGGAACGUGGAUGUUUGUUAUUUGUUGUAAGUUUGAGAUGGUUUUCUAUUCUAAAUUUUUAAAACUGCUUUGAUUUCAAAAUCGAUGUGUAUCUGCCCAGUUUUUAUAGAUUAUUGCAUACACUUACAUUUUUACCCAAAAGAGUAAUAAAAAAUUUUGAAAGUCUUAUGCAACGGGACAUAAAAUAAAAUUACACAGAAUCUCAAGUGUACUAUAUUUCUGAAGUGUGAAUGUUUGAGGAAAUUAUUUUUAUUUUAGAUUUUUACUAAUACAUAGAAAAAAAAUCCUUAUAAAAUAUGCCCUCAUCUAAUGGGGACCCAGGUACACAUCUUUUUUGCAUUAAAUUCCUUUAUACUGAAAGUUACUUGGUUGUAACAGAAGGCAAUUGCUCAUUAGAUUAAAAAAAAUGUUAAAGCUUUGGUAAUGUUAAAAAACCUCCCUGUAAAAACAAUAUCAUGGAUAUUAAUGACAGAGUAAAGUUUCUAUGUCAAGGUUCACUUUCAAAUUUUCACUGAGGACUAGUUUCUUUAUCCAAACUUAUUUUUCAUUAUCCUAAAAUGAUAAAAUAAAUCCAAGGAGACCACAGCAGGCUUAAAUGGAUGUUACAAAAGCAAUUCCUCUGUACUAACUUCUCAAUUCUUCUGUAAAUCUAAAAAUAUUUUGAAAUAAAUGUUUAUUUAAAAACUUA